rnacentral:rRNA from 1 species
UACGUAGGGGGCUAGCGUUGUUCGGAAUUAUUGGGCGUAAAGGGCGCGUAGGCGGUGCGGUAAGUCCGCAGUGAAAUCUCUGGGCUCAACUCAGAGUCUGCUGUGGAAACUGCCGUGCUAGAGUGUGGGAGAGGUGAGUGGAAUUCCCGGUGUAGCGGUGAAAUGCGCUAGAUAUCGGAGGAAGACACCCGUGGCGAAAGCGGCUCU